CAGACGAUGCGUCAUGCAUAUCAAUAAGCGGAGGAAAAGAAACUAACAAGGAUUCCCCUAGUAACGGCGAGUGAAGCGGGAAGAGCUCAAAUUUGAAAUCUUAAAGGGUUUCCCUUUACGAAUUGUAGUUUAAAGAAGUGUUUUCUGUUGAGGUUUUGGUAAAAGUUCUUUGGAAUAGGACAUCAUAGAGGGUGAGAAUCCCGUAUUUGACCUUUACUUUCAACUUUGUGAUACACUUUCAAAGAGUCGGAUUGUUUGGGAAUGCAAUCCAAAAUGGGUGGUAAAUUUCAUCUAAAGCUAAAUAUUGGCGAGAGACCGAUAGCGAACAAGUACCGUGAGGGAAAGAUGAAAAGAACUUUGAAAAGAGAGUUAAACAGUACGUGAAAUUGUCAAAAGGGAAGCGUUUGACACCAGUGUUGUUUUUCUGAAAAUCAAUUAAAGAACUGUUUAUGCUAAGCUGUUUAGACUUUAUCAGCUACCUGUUUAGUUUUGAGCUUUUCUUUAAUGCACUUUUCAGUUAACAAGUCAACAUCAAUUUCUUUUGCUGUAAAAAAGCUUGAGGAAGGUGGCUUGAGAUUCGUCUUAAGUGUUUAUAGCCUCUCGCCUAUGCAGUCGGAGAGAUUAAGGUCUGCAGCGUAGAUCCUUCGGGGCUAAAUGCAUUUGUGCUAAGUUAUAGCAUUUUAUAGACAACUUGUUGACUAUGAUUUGUCUUGUAGCUUACUCGCUUAUGUUAUUUUACCUACGCUUAGGAUGUUGAAUCUGUGCGAGACUAC
rnacentral:rRNA from 1 species